GUUACUUGACUUCGCCCGCCUCCUCGAGGUUGUACUCCAUGCAUCGAGCUGGUUACUGGCCUUCGCUUGCUCUUUGCUCACACUUCUGAAGCACUUGAAGUAUUUGCACUCCUUGCGUUGAGUUAGCUACUGUGAUUCACCUUCUCAAUGCCAUUGAACUUCUGGAAUGCAAGAAGUUUUCACCCCAACUUGGAGUAAUUCUCUAAUAGGUUUGGUCGCCUCUGGGAUUGUACCGUCUUCUCCAUCAACCCUGCCGCCUACUCCCCUGAGUAGCAAAGGUAUAGCACCGCAUAUUGCCUACUUCGUUCCUUGGUCGUGCACUCUUGCAUGACCCGAAGUCCUUCACUU
rnacentral:lncRNA from 1 species